rnacentral:rRNA from 1 species
GACAGAGGAGGCGAGCGUUAUCCGGAGUUAUUGGGCGUAAAGGGUACGUAGGCGACUGGUCAAGUCUGGGGUUAAAGACCACAGCUUAACUGUGGGGGGGCCUUGGAAACUGACCGGCUGGAGUGGGGCAGGGGUUGCGGGAAUUCCCGGUGUAGCGGUGAAAUGCGUAGAUAUCGGGAAGAACACCUGAGGCGAAAGCGCGCAACUGGGCCCUAAAUGACGUUGAGGUACGAAAGCUAGGGGAGCGAAUGGG